rnacentral:rRNA from 1 species
AGUAACACGUAUCCAACCUGCCGAUAACUCGGGGAUAGCCUUUCGAAAGAAAGAUUAAUACCCGAUGGCAUAAUAGAACCGCAUGGUUUGAUUAUUAAAGAAUUUCGGUUAUCGAUGGGGAUGCGUUCCAUUAGUUUGUUGGCGGGGUAACGGCCCACCAAGACUACGAUGGAUAGGGGUUCUGAGAGGAAGGUCCCCCACAUUGGAACUGAGACACGGUCCAAACUCCUACGGGAGGCAGCAUG